rnacentral:rRNA from 1 species
CAUAGCGACUAUCGUGGCAUAUCAAUAAGCGGAGGAAAAGAAACUAACAAGGAUUCCCUUAGUAACGGCGAGUGAAGCGGGAAGAGCUCAAAUUUGAAAUCUUCAAGGUUUUACCUUGACGAAUUGUAGUUUAAAGAAGUGUUUUCUGUUGGAGUUUUGGUAAAAGUUCUUUGGAAUAGGACAUCAUAGAGGGUGAGAAUCCCGUAUUUGAUCACUUUCUACUAACGUUGUGAUACACUUUCAAAGAGUCGGAUUGUUUGGGAAUGCAGUCCAAAAUGGGUGGUAAAUUUCAUCUAAAGCUAAAUAUUGGCGAGAGACCGAUAGCGAACAAGUACCGUGAGGGAAAGAUGAAAAGAACUUUGAAAAGAGAGUUAAACAGUACGUGAAAUUGUCAAAAGGGAAGCGUUUGACACCAGUGUUGUUUUUCCGAAAAUCAAUUAUGAAUGGCUUGAUUUUAAGUUUCAUGACCUUAAAAGCUUGUUUCUUAUUUUUCAUGUCUUUCGUAAUGCACUUUUCGGUUAACAAGUCAACAUCAAUUUCUUUUGUUGUAAAAGGUUAAGAGGAAGGUGGCUUUACUUUCGGGUAAAGUGUUUAUAGCCUUUUAACUCUGCAAUCGGAGAGAUUGAGGUCUGCAGCGUAGAUCCUUCGGGGUUAGAUACAUUUGUGCUAAGUUAUAGCUUUUCAUAGACAACUUGUUGACUAUGUUAAGUCUUGUAAUUUACUCGCAGAUGCUAUUUUACCUACGCUUAGGAUGUUGAAGAUAUGCGCGACACG